rnacentral:lncRNA from 1 species
UUUAUAAUGUCUGAAUCUUAUGUUGGAUAAGUUGUUCCCAUCUCAACUUAUUAAAUAUCCUCUCAUGCUUUCUUCUACUAUUUUGGGGUUUUGAUUUCUUACAUUUGGAAUUUAUCCAGGUGUAAGGUGUGAGGCACGGAUCCAACUUUAUCUUUUCAAGAUGGCUUCUUCUGUGUUGAUUCAACACCACCGAUCAAAUAAUCCACUUUCUCUUUACUCAAUUGGGAUGGCAUCUAUAUAAUGUAUUACAUUCCCAGAUGUGUUUCAGUUUAUUUCUGGAUUCUUUAUUUUGUUCCAUAGACGUGUCUGUCUGUUCUGAGGCAGUACCAUACUGUUUAGUUACUGCCAUUGUAGAAUAUAGAGUUGAGUGUGACAGCUCUUUUAGAAUUUAUCUAACAGGGUUUCCAGUUUUCACUGUAUACCAUCCUUGCCCCUCAAAAAGAGUAUGUAUGGUGGGCCCUCUGUAUCCACAGAUUCUGCAUCUGCAGAUUCAACCAACCUCAUUGAAAACAUUCAGGAAAAAAACACAAUAAAAAUAACAAUACAAUGAUGAAAAAUAUACAAAUUUUAAAAACAAUACAACAACUAAUUACGUAACAUUUACAUUGUAUUAGUAUUAUAAGUAAGCUAGAGAUGAUUUAAAGUAUAUAGGAGGAUGUGCAUAGGUUAUACGUAAAUAUGGCACCGUUUUAUAUCAGGACCUGAGCAUCUGUGGAUUUUAAUAUCUAUGGGAGUCUUGGAACCAAUCCCCCAUGGACACUGAGGGACUGCUGUAUUUUAAUAUCUGGUAUAUAUAUUCCCCAUUCAUUGUUCUUCUUAUUCACAUUUUCUGAAAUAAAUCUUGUUUAUUGGCCCAUAUGAAAUUUUGAAUCACUACGUCUGCAUUUUUAGAAAUGCACAUCUGAGGUACAUGUUUACCAAUACCUUUAAAGCUUGGAUCCUGUGGCUCCUUCCUUCCUUCCUUCCUUCCUUCCUUCCUUCCUUCCUUCCUUCCUUCCUUCCUUCUUUCCUUCCUUCCUUCCUUCCUUCCCUCCUUCCUUCCCUCCUUCCUUCCUUCCUUCUCUCUCUCUCCCUCUCUCUCUCCUUCUUUCUUCUUUCUGAAAGGGUCUUGCUCUGUCCCCCAAGCUGGAGUGCAGUGGUGCAACCUUGGCUCAUUGCACCCUCAGUCGCCAGGGCUCAAGUGAUCCUCCCACUUCAGCCCCUCAAGUAGCUGGAACCACAGGUGCAUGCCACCAUACCUGGCUAAUUUUUUGUAGAAAUAGGGUCUCCUGGUGUUGUCCAGGCUUGUCUCCAACUCCUGGGCUCAAGCAAUCCUCCCAACUCAGCCUCCCAAAGUGCUGGGAUUACAGGUGUGAGCCACCAUGACUGGCCUGGCCACUUUCUUCCAAAGGUUUUUAUCUCUUUCACAUUCAAUCCUAAAUGGUUCUCACUGGUUGGUGAGAGACGAUUCUAAGGGAUACAACUUCUAUUACUCC